UACGUAUGUUCCAAGCGUUAUCCGGAUUUAUUGGGCGUAAAGCGAGCGCAGACGGUUAUUUAAGUCUGAAGUGAAAGCCCUCAGCUCAACUGAGGAAUGGCUUUGGAAACUGGAUGACUUGAGUGCAGUAGAGGAAAGUGGAACUCCAUGUGUAGCGGUGAAAUGCGUAGAUAUAUGGAAGAACACCAGUGGCGAAGGCGGCUUUCUGGACUGUAACUGACGUUGAGGCUCGAAAGUGUGGGUAGCAAACAGG
rnacentral:rRNA from 1 species